rnacentral:rRNA from 1 species
UACGUAGGCAGCAAGCGUUGUUCGGAGUUACUGGGCGUAAAGGGUGCGUAGGCGGUUGUUUAAGUUUGGUGUGAAAUCUCCCGGCUCAACUGGGAGGUGCGCCGAAUACUGAAUGACUCGAGUGCGGGAGAGGAGAGUGGAAUUCCUGGUGUAGCGGUGAAAUGCGUAGAUAUCAGGAGGAACACCGGUGGUGUAGACGGCUCUCUGGACCGUAACUGACGCUGAGGCACGAAAGCGUGGGUAGCAAACAGG